rnacentral:rRNA from 1 species
UACGGAGGGUGCAAGCGUUAUCCGGAUUUACUGGGUUUAAAGGGUGCGCAGGCGGAUAUGUAAGUCAGUGGUGAAAUCUCCGGGCUUAACCCGGAACUGCCGUUGAUACUAUAUAUCUUGGAAUGCCGUGGAGGUAAGCGGAAUAUGUCAUGUAGCGGUGAAAUGCUUAGAUAUGACAUAGAACACCUAUUGCGAAGGCAGCU